UUCCAUAUUUUAUUCCUAAUAGCUAGUACCAAGUAUGCUGGAACAAAUGUCUAAUUUGAAUGAAGUUUAAUUACAAAAAGGUUCUCCAUUUCAAGACAAAAUCUAAAACAGUAAAUCAAACUCAAGCUCAACUCAGGCCCAAGACAGCUCCACUGCUGAGAAGUGAAUUGCCACCGUAUCUGUCCAGUGGUCAGCACUGCUCAAGAGCAGACUUCCAUUUCCGAGCUGAACAUUUGAGGACAGAUGCUGAGGCAAAAUGUUUGUGCUGUAGCCAGAAAUAGUAACCCUAAGGUUCUUGGGAAAUCACAUUUUGUAGUGUUGGACUAGGCAGACUGGUUUAGGUAUUCCACAACUGGAGAGAAGGACACAGUUCGUCUGGGCCACUCAGUUUGCCAGAAUGGAGUCUGGAUCCUCUUCAAAGGAUAUGUACCUGUAGAAGCUGCUGGCAGUGGGGACUGGUUGGGGUUGGGGGGUGAGAGUGAAAGUUUUGUUCCCUGAUUCUAGAAGACAGGGAUCAUACUUGUAAUCCUGGAAGGUGAUCAGAAAUGCUAUUUUAAAACUCAAAAACAGAUCCACAGACCACCGACUAUAGUGAAAGAAGAUGGUAAGUUUGGGGCAGGCUCUUUAAGUGCAGAAGGUUGCCUGCCUUCGUCAAAAAAUCUUAUGUCUGGGCAACUGGCUACCUUCAUAUACUGAUUCCUUUUUCACAAAUAAUGCAGGUAAAAGAUUUUAUGUUCUCCCAGAAAUAACUGUCCAUUUGUCUCGCAAGAUAACAGCUCACUGACAAUGCACCUAAGUUAGUCAAGAGCUCUGAUGAAGAUGUACAAGAAUAAUGUUGUUUCCAUGCCUAACACAUCUAUUCUGUAGUCCAUGCAUAAACGUGUAAUUGUGACUUUCAAACUCUAAUUAUUUAAGAAAUAUGUUUUGUAAGGUUACAGUUGCCAUAGUCCUUAAUAUAUGAAGUUGCCAUAAUCCUUCAGGAAAGGAUUCACCAUUUUAGAUGCCAUUAAGAACAUUCAUGAUUCAUGGGAGAAAGUAAAAAUAUCAACAUUAACAGGUGUUUGGAAGUUGAUUCCAACUCUCAUGAGUGGCUCUGAGGGGUUCAAGGCUCCAGUGGAGGAAUGAACUGCAGAAGUGGAGCCUGAAGAUGUGACUGAAUUGCUGCCAUCUCAUGCUAAAACUUGAACAGAUAAGGAGGUGCUUCUUAUGGAUGAGUAAAAGUGGUUUCUUCUUAUGGAUGAGUAAAGAAAGAGGUUUCUUGAGAUUGGAUCUACUUAUGGUGGAGAUGCUGUGAACACUGUUGAAAUGACAACAAAGAUUUAGAAAAUUCCAUAAAUUUAGUUGUAAGGCAGUAGCAGGGUAUGAGAGGAUUGACUCAAACUCUGAAAGAAGUUCUACUGUGGGCAAAAUGCUAUCAAGCAGCAUUCCAUGCUACAGGGAAAUCUUUUGUGAAAGGAAGAGUCAAUCAAGUGGCAAAGUCCAUUGCCUUAUGCUAAGAAACUGCCACAGCCACCCAACCUUCCAGAAACUACCACCCUGAUCAGUCAGCAGCCAUCAACUUUGAGGCAAGACCCUCUACCACUAAAAAGAUUACAACUUGCUAAGGGCUCAGAAGAUCUUUGGCAUUUUCUGACAAUAUUUUAAAAUUAAGGUAUGUAUAUUUUUAAAGAUACAAUGCUAUUGAAACACACUAUAGACUACAGUACAGUAUAACUUCUAUAUGCAUCAGGAAACUAAAAAUUCUGUGAUUUGCUUUAUUGUGAUAUUUGCUUUAUUGCCGUGGUCUGAAACCAAACCCACAAUAUCUCUAAGGUAUGUCCGUAUAAGUUCCUAAGCAUAGUAUGGGGGCAUAUCUAAUGUGUACCAUUUUAAGUAGUGGCUAUUCUUGAAUUUACACUUUCACAUGAAUUUUAGAAUCAGUUUGACUAGCUCUAAGUCCUAUUGAGAGUUUUAAAACAGGAUUCAAAUGAAUUCUUUACAAUAUAACCUUCCCAUUCAUGGCCAUGAUAUUCUGCUCCAUUAUUGAAGUUUUCUUAUCUAUCUUUCAAAAAAGAACAUAAGACUCUAGCAUAUUUCUUGUUAGGCUUUCCCUAGGUGAUUUUUAAUUGCUAUUAUAAAUAAAUAUCCAUUUUUCCCAUAAAAUAUUGCUAUAUGUUAGUGUAUUAAUCUUGUACUGUUACCUUUUUCAACUCUAUUGGUUCUGAUAGCUUGUCAGUUGUCUACCUUUCAUCUUCUAGGUAAAUAUUUCUUACAAAUAAUGAGAUUUGCUCCUACUUUCCAAUUUAUCUCAUUACUUUUACUUGUCUUACUGCACUGGCUAGGACACCCAAGAAUACUGUUGAAGAGAAGUUGUAGAGGGUAUCCUUGUUUGAUCCCUGAAAAGAAUUCUUCUAGCAUUUUACCCUUGUAUAUGAUGAUUACUAGAGAUAAACUUUUAACAAGUUAACAAAUUUCUAGUUUGAUAUUUUUUUUUAACCAAAUAUGGUGUGGUGGUUUUAAAUGUAAUCUACUCCAGUUAAAGACUAUGACACUCUAUUAUUAUCACUAAUCAAACUCAUGAAUAAUGAACAGUACAUAAAAAAUAAUGUUAUGUUUUACUUUAGCACCCAGGAAGCUCAAAACCAAACUAUCUGAAUAUAACAACUCUGCACAGCAUAGCCUGCUCAUCUAUAUGACAUUGACACUAUUCCCUCCCCCAAAAUACCACCUAUUCUAAUUUAUAUUAUCCUAAAUAUUUUUCUCUUAUUUUUCUAUUUUAUUGAGUGGAUUUCCUAUCAAUUGCCAUACAUUUUUAAUGGAAUAAGAUAAAGUAUAAAUAAAAACUUUAAAAAAACGUGGCUACCUUUGGAUUUGAAGUGAAAAACGUGAUAUAACCAGGACAGUAUAGCACAUGGAAAUCUAACACUAUGACUAACAAACGUAUUGGGUGAUGUGAAUUAAGAAUCUGGUUCAGAGGAAAUCAAGUAUUUAAACUGAGGUCUGCUUAUACACAUGGUUAAGCUUAUUUGUCAUGACUAGCCAUUAGUAAAUACAUGUUAAUUUCAUACAAUUAAAAAGAAACCCACAAACCAUUAGCAUUUUGAUUAAUACAUGAUUAAUAAAAGUUUGCUGAACAUACAAUCUUAGAUCAUUAUAAAUUCUUUUUGAAAGGUAGACUGGGUGCAGUGGCUCACGCCUGUAAUCCUGACACUUUGGGAGGCCAUGGAAGGUAAAAAGCUUGAACUCAGAAGUUCAAGACCACCCUGGGCAACAUAGUGGGAUUCUAUUUUUACAAAAAAAUACAAAUAUUAGCCAGGCAUGGUGGUGGGCACCUAUAGUCCCAGAUACAUGGGAGGCUGAGGUGGAAGGAUCACUUGAGCUCAGAAGGUCGUGGCUGCAGUGAGCCAAGAUCGCACCACUGCACUGCACUCCAGCCUGGGCAACACAGCAAAACCCUGCCUAAACAGAACAAAACAAAACAAAACCAAAACACACUGAUCUUAUAAUUGAGUGAUAAAACUAAAAAGUAAUCACCUCUCCCAACAAAAUGUUCCACAACCACUAUUUCAC
rnacentral:lncRNA from 10 species